UACAGAGGGGGCAAGCGUUGUUCGGAAUUACUGGGCGUAAAGGGCGCGUAGGCGGCCUGCUAAGUCGAACGUGAAAUCCCCGGGCUCAACCCGGGAACUGCGUCCGAUACUGGUGGGCUUGAAUCCGGGAGAGGGAUGUGGAAUUCCAGGUGUAGCGGUGAAAUGCGUAGAUAUCUGGAGGAACACCGGUGGCGAAGGCGGCAUCCUGGACCGGUAUUGACGCUGAGGAGCGAAAGCUAGGGGAGCAAACGGG
rnacentral:rRNA from 1 species